AGGGAGAAGGACAUCAUACUUGUAUUUCUGAGACUUCUGGAGUGAUCCCCAGGCUGCUAAAAUUGACACUGUUUCAGGUGUUUCAGGAUGGUUGCUGACAGCAGCUGAGAAACAUUUGGCACGGCGCAAGAAAAGAAGUGCAAAGGUGACAGUCUCCUUCCCUGGCUGGCUGGGCUGGUUCAGCAUCCACCACCUGCCAGCAGACCCAACACGCCAGGACGGCCCCCUCCUUGUCUUUAGAUUCAUCUGGACUUGAAAGGUUGUUUUUGGGUUUGAUUUUGUUUGCAACUGCAAGAAUAUUGGCCAGGUGCACCAUAUGUAGAAGCCACUACAUAGAAAAGCCUCCGAAUUCCACUGAAAUAUCUAUGGGUUCAGAUAUUUGUGUUCUUCAGCAUUUUAUGAAUUCAGAAACAGAUGGGCUAUGACCAGGAAGCAGUGGAGAACAGACUGGCGUAAAGCAGCCUGCCCUACCAGCAAUUCAACUACAACUGACUUAAUGAAGAGUAGAAGUAAGCAUGAAUCCAGACUUUCCAUGGAUCAUAAUAUUUGAGAACCCAGAAGAAUCAACAUGACGGAAAUCAUGCCAAGAGCCACAAAGUGCCAUCUGUAGAUGGACAAGACUCUUGUUGAUGCAGCUGGAUGAAGGCAAAAGAGGAGCCUGGGAUGUGGGUGCAGGAAAGAACCUGCAGGACCACUUGGUUUGAAAGGUGCUGUAGGAGUGGAAGCCAUCAGCAUUCAAAUGACAAAGACACGACUGGGAGUGUCCCUUCAGGGCAGCAAAACAAGGAGAUGCUGCUCAGGAAUUCAGUUUCCCAGUGCAGUUGUGCUAGCUGAGCAGCACAUGCCACAUAUCUUGCUUGCAUCUUGGACUCUUGAAGGUUUUCUUUUCUCUCAUUCUCUUGUCCAAGCUUCACAUUUAACCUUUGAGGCAGUUUUGAAUAUAUCCCUCCAUAAAUCAUAGUCCAGUAGCACUAACCUCA